UUUUUUGAAAGUCGGUUAAAAAAAGCUUACGCAUUUGUUCUCACGACUUUUUUUACAAGAAAUAAUAUAUACAGCGAUUAUUUAGUAUGACGAAUCAUGAGUUCAUUUAUCAUUCGGAAGAUCUCACUGAAUAUAUUUUAUUGCAUGAAAUUCAUAAUUUAGUCAUUUUGCUACCAGAAUAUCCAGAAACGUGUUACUUAGUUCGAACUUUUGUUAUAGCAACACCAGACCUUUAAAACUAAUUGUGAAUAAAAAAAAGAAACAUUAUAAAGCGUUAGUUCUAUGGUCCAUAGAUAAUGUAUAAGUAUU